rnacentral:tRNA from 1 species
GCCGAUUUAGUUAAGUGGUAUAAUAGGUCCUUGGUAAGGAUCAGUGAACAGUUCAAUUCUGUUAAUCGGCACCA